AAAAGCGGCGGACGGGUGAGUAACACGUGGGUAACCUGCCCAUCAGAAGGGGAUAACACUUGGAAACAGGUGCUAAUACCGUAUAACAAUCGAAACCGCAUGGUUUUGAUUUGAAAGGCGCUUUCGGGUGUCGCUGAUGGAUGGACCCGCGGUGCAUUAGCUAGUUGGUGAGGUAACGGCUCACCAAGGCGACGAUGCAUAGCCGACCUGAGAGGGUGAUCGGCCACAUUGGGACUGAGACACGGCCCAAACUCCUACGGGAGGCAGCAGUAGGGAAUCUUCGGCAAUGGACGAAAGUCUGACCGAGCAACGCCGCGUGAGUGAAGAAGGUUUUCGGAUCGUAAAACUCUGUUGUUAGAGAAGAACAAGGAUGAGAGUAACUGUUCAUCCCUUGACGGUAUCUAACCAGAAAGCCACGGCUAACUACGUGCCAGCAGCCGCGGUAA
rnacentral:rRNA from 1 species